rnacentral:lncRNA from 1 species
CAACUGGGUUAAGAUCUAGAGAAAACAUUGAGUUUUCCCUAUGGGGGAAAGGGGAGGAGAAAGGAAGCAUAAUUAGUUUUACUGUGCAGCCAAAGGACUACCCCAGGCACCAAUGAGGUAGGGAAAUUUGGAUUUCUAGGCAGCGCUCUUCCGCCUGCCCAUUUCAUAACAGUCUUGGAGCCAGUCACCUUGGGAGCGGGUUGCGGGUGGUCGCUAAAGAUCCCGGUCUCUUUCGCCUCCUUCUCAGUCGGCUUUUGCCGAAAGACUUCAGGUACCUUCUUCCUGGAUUCCCUCCCCCACCGCAGCCCAGACGCUGUGAGACGCGCCGGCUGAUUCGAGAAGCUGGCUGGUCAUCCCGGAGGGGGCGAUCCCGGCCUAGGGCCUUGCUCCCCGCCGCACCCUGGCACGAAGCAGGGUCGCGUCGCUGCGGCUGGCCUCGGCCGCGGCCUCCGGGCCACGUGACCCCCGGGCGGCGCCGGGAGCCGUCCUUGGGUGACGCCAGACCUCGCCGCCGGGAGGCGCGGCGCGGCUGCCCCUCGGCCCCACGCCUUCCGGCAAACCUGGCCUCGAGCCGGGCCGCCGACCCACCCUGGACCCGGGUCGCCCCGGGGACGCAGCCUGCCCGGGUGCGGGAGGAGGUCGCCUUUCUGCCCGGGAGAGGCUGCUUUGAGCGCGCAGGCGGGUCGCCAGUUACCACUCGGCGCUGGUUAAGCCCGAGGCAGACGUGAGGGAACUGGGUGAAAUAGGGCUUCUAAUGUGAGGAAAAACACGGAAUGACAAGUGUGGGAAAGAGCAAGCACUAAAUUACUGUCAGAAAAAUAAACGGAGCAGCACAGUGGUGCUCGGUGAUUUACGGGGGCAAUUAGUCACCACCCCACGGCGCUGCUGAGGACAGCACGGCAGCAGGCGCGUCAGGCCGGAGGAAGAAGAGGCUUUGCACUGCUCUCCAGACAACUUUUCAAACAACAAGAGAGGGUGUUUGAGCACAUUAGGUUCUAUGUCUUCAUUCUGGGUGCCCACCCUUCAUGUUAUUCAAACAACUUAAUCUGUAAAUGUAUUUUUAGCACAAUAUUAACCUGUUCUGUGUGCGUUAAAAAGACUCCAACUGCAGCUUUUUCUUUCCCACUGUCCAAAGUAGGUUUUUCCCCCAUCCCUUAAAAAAUAAACAAAAAAACCUUUCCCCAUUCCCAGAUUGUCCCCCUGAUGUGUGCCUUUGGUCUGUCUCAUCACUUUUUGCAUCUUGCUGCCACGUUCUGUCUUUGCUCAGAGCCACUGAGCUGAGGAAUUUAGUCUGCAGCUCCUGGGGGAUGCUUGGUGAGCUGGUACAAGGGGGGUGAUCCACGAGGCUGUGAAACACAGGGUGAAUGAAGAAGAUGCAUGAACUUUCUGAUAUUUGCCAAUGUGUUCUUUAACAUACUAUAUGUAGUGCCUCUGUAUAUGUACAUAGCAAAAUAAACCUGCUAAAAUAUAAUGAAUCGGUGUGCAUUCUUUAAUCGGAAUUCUUCUCUAUCAGGAGAAAUCUAGAAUGGAAGAUGGAGAGAGAACC